CUCAAGUGAUGGUUUUGAAUCUACAGAACCAAAAAGAACUAACAGCAGUGCAUUUUAAGACCCAACGAGACACCUGGGUGAAAGAUCGGAGCCAAUCUACAACAGGUUCACCAAUAUCAAUGUUGGAUGGGCAGGCAGUGUUCACGAUGCCAGAGUCCUCCGCAAUUCUAUGAUCUUUGACCUGGCCAAGGUUUUUCCUGAGCAUACUCGCAACAUUGCAGGCAUUGAGGUGCCCAUCAAAAUCCUGGGUGACGCAGCAUACCCCCUCAUGUCUUGGCUUAUGAAACCCUACUCUGACCGGAUGGGCAGUUGAUGGGGGAACAGCAGCAUUUCAACUACCGCCUUAGCAGAGAACGCAUGACGGUAGAGUGGGCAUUUGGGAGGUUAAAGGGCCGGUGGAGGUGCCUCCUCAAACAGUCUGAACUUGAAUUGAAAAGAGUGCCAGUGGUUGUCACAGCCUGCUGCAUUCUGCAUAAUUUGUGUGAGCAAAAUGGAGAAAACUUUGACAACGCCUGGCUACAGGGUGAGAGUGUAUCUGGAACUCUGGAAGAAACCCAGGAGAUGGCACCUGCUCUCCAGCAGCAACAACAACCACACGCCCAUAACAUUCGCACAGCUUUGACUAGGUUGUUUUCUGA